GCGGCCGCGGGGGCCCGGGCUGGGGGGUCCCGGUCCCGCCCAGGGGCGUCCCGGCCCCGGCCCUCUGAGGGGUCCCGCUCACGGCCCUCGCACGGGUCUCCGCCCCGACCCUCUGAGGGGCGGCCGCCGCGUCUGCCGCGGGCCCCGGGCUGGGCUCGGGCCCGGCGGGGCGGGGGGGCCAUGGCCACCCGGCGUCUCACGGACGCGUUCUUGUUGUUGCGGAACAACGCGGUGCAGAGCCGGCAGCUGCUGGCCGAGCAAGUGAGUAGUUUCGGCUCCUCCAGCCCUCUGAAUUCACGUAGCAUGGCUGCUGCGGAGCUGGAUGAGCUGGCUGAUGACCGCAUGGCCCUGGUGUCGGGGAUAAGCCUGGAUCCCGAGGCAGCCAUCGGAGUGACCAAGCGGUUGCCUCCCAAAUGGGUCGAUGGGGCAGACGAAAUUCAGUAUGAUAUUGCCAGGGUUAAACAGAAGAUGAAAGAAUUAGCCAGUCUUCAUGAUAAACAUCUGAACAGACCCACACUGGAUGACAGCAGUGAAGAGGAACGGGCAAUAGAAAUAACAACCCAGGAGAUCACACAGUUAUUCCACAGAUGUCAGAGAGCAGUCCAGGUGUUGCAGAGCAGGUCACGUACUUGUACAGAACAAGAAGCACGUGUUCUCAGGAAUGUAGUGUCUUCCUUAGCACAGUCCCUUCAGGACCUCUCCACCAACUUUAGGCAUGCACAGUCUGACUAUCUCAAACGUAUGAAGAAUAGAGAAGAAAGGUCCAAACACUUCUUUGACACCUCAGUCCCACUGAUGGAUGAUGGAGAGGAUGAUACCCUUUAUGAUAGAGGUUUUACAGAUGACCAGCUGGCAUUGGUGGAGCAAAACACACUGAUGGUGGAAGAGAGGGAACGAGAAAUCCGUCAGAUUGUGCAGUCAAUCUCCGAUCUCAAUGAAAUAUUUAGGGACCUGGGAGCAAUGAUAGUAGAACAGGGAACAGUUCUAGAUAGAAUUGACUAUAAUAUUGAACAGUCAUGUAUGAAAACUGAAGAGGGCCUAAAACAACUGCAUAAGGCAGAGCAAUAUCAAAAGAAGAAUCGGAAGAUGCUCGUUAUUUUAAUUUUGUUUGUUAUAGUAAUUGUCCUUAUUGUUGUUCUUAUUGGUGUAAAGUUACACUAGGUUUCGCUUCAUUUUCUCAUUUUUGGAGUUUCUGUGAACUUUUUUCCCAAUGUGAAUGGAUGGACCUGCACUCCAGAAAGCUGCCUUUGAAUGUACGAGCCCUUGUGGUGCAACGUCUGUGCAAUGUUUCCGUAGAAUUCUUCAAAGUACAAGUUUGGUGAUCUGUGAGGUGUUUGUAAGGAUUAUAUGGAAAAUGUCAGGAAAUUUGAUGCUCCCACACAAAAAAAUUUUGGCGUUCUAUGCAGAGUUAUUUUGAAACACAGUGUUUAAGAAUAAUUAAAAAUUGAAGUUUACCAGUGACUACAGUAAUUAGUGUGUUACUGUUAACAAAAUGUGUUGUCUUCUAUAUUCUUAUGUCAUAAUUGUUAUAGGCUUCAAAUUUAAACCAUGUUACUGAGUCAACGUGACUGGAUAUCAAAAAUUGAUCUUGAUGUAAAAUUUGUUGAGAUGCAAAAUUGUUUGAUUGAAUGCCCUUUCUUCCAGACUCAAAAACUCCAAAGAACUGGAUAGACAGCUAAAAAGGAAAGCUUUUAGCAACCAGAACGUAAUCCAACCCCUGUGAUCUUAAUUUAGAUACUGCACCAUUACUAAGAAUCAGAGGUACUUGAUCUUGUAAAUAACAAGAUGUAAUCACUGGCAUAAUUUAACACAUUUAGUUAAUUAAAAAAAAAUUCUGAGCUUGAGUAAUCAUGGGAAUAAUUUUCCUUCAUUGGGAUGAUCAUAUAUUUUUCUCAGGCAUUAUUUUUUUAGUUUAGAGUACAGACAUUACAUUAAAGCAGUGAAGUUAACCUGAAAAAAAUGGAAUAGAAACUCAAAAGGAGAAUCUCUCUGGCCUGCUGCAGUGGGUCUUAGAUGUUUCAAACUGUAGCUGCUGUAAAAGUUGUUUAUUUUACAAUGCAUUUGUCCAUAUGGGUUAUGUUUUUUGUAUAAGAAGUGGCUUCACUACAGUAAAUAUUAUAUCCAUUUUCCCUGACAGAAAAUUCUCUUUCAAAUGUCAGCCUGGGAGAGGACGUGUUCGUGGUUUUUCACUGACCAUGAGAGAUGUCAUGCAAAUGACAUUUGACAAGGCCUUCAGUGGAGAAUUUGGGGUUUUCACUGCUCUUUUCAGUGGAAAACUUUGCUGCAGGCCGUACGACAGAAAUUAAGGCAACUUAAAAGUAAUAGAAUACUUUUAAUUUAAUUCAGGCCUGAAGUGGUGUGCAAUUGUAGAGGCCUUGUCUUAAUGUUUUUAAUACUGAUUUUUUUAUAUGUUUGGGGUUUUUUUUCCCAAAGGGACUGUAACUUCCUUCAUUUUUUGACUGAUACAAGUGGUCCCCAUAGACCUGCAGAGAUGUUCUGCUCCAAGCUCCAGAAGUGCAGUUUCAAAACACUAUGAUAUUGAAGUUGCAUCUGUCACCUGCCCCGAAUUUCUUGACUCUGUGCUAAAGAGGACUUGAGAUGUGGCUUCAAACUGACCAUUUUCAGGGAUGGACCUGAAAGCAAAGACUGCAAAAACAUGAAAGCCUUGGCUUUUUGUGUGGCUUAUGAAAAGCUUUGUACCACUCUUGUUACCUCUAGAGAAAGGGGAUGUUGAACCACCAAAACUGCCAGUUCAAGCUCUUCAUUGAAUUCAUGAAGUAAAUUGGUGAAAGGAAGAAUGAGGCUUGUGUUGUGUGUGCAGCUCCCCUGUUCUGGUGAUAGAUCUUUCAAUGAUUGUGCUUUUGACAUUUUAUCAUGGCAGAUGGUUUCAAAGAAGUAAUAAAACACAUCCAACCUAAUUGGACAAUUACUCUUUUUUCUUACUGAAAUUAUAAACUGAAACAUACUUCUGUGAUGUUAACACGUUUCUGUUCUUCGUAAUAAAUGAAAGUGGCAGUGGCAUGAAAUACCUUUUUUUUAACUUUCUGUAGCACAAUGUAUUUUGCAUUGUUGAGAGAUAUUUCCCAUGACUGCCCACUGUCUACCUUUUUUCUACCCAAAUUCUGUACAAGGGAAUGCAUUUUUAAUAAGGUUAAACUCAGAUGUCAAGUGUCAUAUGUGACUUGAGCUGGAAUUUAUUGAAGCUUGACUCUGUUGAUGAAGAAAGCUCAGGACACGCUGGAUUCUAAAUCAUUGCUGGUGUGUGGCUUAUUUUGAGUCAGUCUGAAUAAUGUCAGCAGUUCAAUCAAACCUGAUGCUGUGCUUUGUGGGAGUAUCCCCACAAAAGGGGAUCUGUCUGUGCCUUUGGGCAAUGAAAGCCCAGAAAAGCCACAGCAGCUGCUGCCUCCUCAGGUAUUCCAGGAGCUGCCAGAGCCUCCCGCCUUCGCUUCUGCCCAGCCCUGGGAAUCUCUGUGUGCUGCUGCAGGCAAAGCUGGGACCUUCUCAUCCUGGGGCUUCUUUGUGGGUGCUGCAUUCUUCUCAGCCUGUAUGGAAGCUCAAAUUCCUUGCUAAAGAGCAGAACGUUGCUCAGAAUUGCAUUGCUGAAGCAUCUCCCAAGGGUUUGUGUCUCCUCACCUGGUGGGAGUGGCCUGUAAAGCUGUUGGCUUGUACACAAUUUCUCCACUAAAAUGCAUGGGAGCGCACAAAAAAUGAGCUGCAACUUGUUAACAGAAAUUAAUUAUAUGCCGAAAGGACAGUAUUAAAAGCACUGUAAUAAAUUAUUUUUACUGAAAGUUUUCUCUAGAAACUGAAAAGUAAUGUGGAAGAAUUGGUUUUUCGCUUGCUGGUUUUUGGAAUGUGCUAAAAAUUGGAAUAUCUAUACUUAAUGCUGUGUUCACUGCCUAGAUUGCAUUGAUUUAAGGUUUGCUUUCAUGAACCACAGCACAAAAGAGUCUUAACUCUUGUUUAAGUGUUUGGAAACCUGCAAACUUUAAAUUCUUGAAUAGGUGACAGUGAAAUUGAUUUUGUUGGAAAAAAAUAUGCUACUAUUUAAAAAAAACCCAAACCAAACAACCGCCUUAAACAAAACUCAUUAAAACAGUGAAUUCAUUAUAAUUUUGCAUAUUAAUUAUGGUGGAUUGUGUAAGAUCAUAUUCUACUGGCUUAAUUCCGUGAAUACUUGUAGAGGAUCAAUAACUGGAAGAUGGGUCCUUGCUGCAGCUUCUGGUGGAGCUCAGACAAAUAGAAAUGUUUGCAGCUGCUGGUGGUGGGACGUUCACAGGGAGUUUCUGUAGAUAAAAUUUAUUUUCUCAGUCCAUUCCCUUCACACAGACCGUCCUCUGCUGCCCUUAACUGCAACAAAAGGAUUGUGGGUUAGGUGUUUCCUGCUGUUUUAUUUGCUUUUCAGAUGCCGUGGAUUCAGGGAAUGUGCUGGUUUUGGAUGCUUCGAGCAGCAGGAACAGCAGAUUUUGAACUCAAUGAUUGGGAGCUUACUGCCUGGAGGAAUCUUUGGAAUGUCUCAAUCCUGAAGUAAUUGCUGUGUGUCCUCUCACUCCCACGCUGCUCUUAUGUAUUGGGAUAACAGUGGACCCCUGAGCAGUAUUUUCUGUGGCUCAGUAAAGAGACUCGUUAAAGUUGGAGCCUGUAUAUUGAGUUACUGUCCCAUCUGCGAGGAUGCACGACUGACCUCUGCAACAGAUGU